AGACCAUAGACAACUCUCACUCAGUCAAUGUGGAAGACCGAAUGAGCCAUCGUCCACACGCAUCAUGUGGUUGUGAGGAGACUGGAGGGCAGGUAUCUCUCAUGCUGCUGCCGAGAGUGUAAAAUGCCAUGGUUACCCUAGAAAACAGCUAAGACAGUUUCUUAUAAAACUAAAACUUUACCACAGGGCCCAGCUGGCAUACUUCUGGAUGUUCACCUAGAAACUUGCAUACAAUCACCCGCUGCAGCUAAAGGCAAGUUCACUGGCCCCAGAGGCAGAAGCAAGAUGAUGGAGAAAAUGUCAUGUUAUAGAAAGCACGAGAAUAACGUGCAGUGUGUUCCUUUUGUGGCUCAAGAAGAAGUGUAAAUGGUGUGUCAAAGCUAAGAAGCGGGACACUGGGACAAAUGAGGCAUCAUGGAUUCUGUGAAGGCACCACAGCUGAUCCCAAGAGGACAGCUGCCGCAGCAUGCAGUUAAUCUUGAAGAUUUCAGUGAUCAACCAUAAAAUGCACGCUCUGGUCACAAACUGAAAGAAAAAGAGGGUCUGUCAACAGGCUAAUGCUUAAGCUGUGGCAUACCCAAACUAUGGACACGCCUCAGCAAUAGAGGGGAUAAGCUAUAUUAAACCGUCACAAGACUUGGACAGGCAUCAAAGGACUUACACUGGGGGGGGGGGGAGAAAAUCUCAAAGGU
rnacentral:lncRNA from 1 species